rnacentral:rRNA from 1 species
UACGUAGGGUGCAAGCGUUGUCCGGAAUUAUUGGGCGUAAAGGGCUCGUAGGCGGUUUGUUGCGUCGGGAGUGAAAACUUACAGCUUAACUGUGAGCGUGCUUCCGAUACGGGCAGACUUGAGGUAUUCAGGGGAGAACGGAAUUCCUGGUGUAGCGGUGAAAUGCGCAGAUAUCAGGAGGAACACCGAUGGCGAAGGCAGCCCCCUGGGCCAACACUGACGCUCAGGCACGAAAGCGUGGGGAGCAAACAGG